UAGUCGCUGGCUGCUGGUGUUGAGCCGAGAAACGCGUGUCCGCUGAGAAUUACUUUCGGAACUUUACUCAUGACUGUUAAGCCCAACAAAUAAGAACUGUAUGGGUUUUAGAAUGUAUAUUUCCGUGGACCACUCUACUAUAAGCGGUGCGAGUUUUGCGAGGUGCAUGCAAUUCUCGGAGGACAUGCGUUUCUCGGCACAACACCAGUAACAACAACAA